rnacentral:rRNA from 1 species
CCUACGGGUGGCAGCAGUAGGGAAUUUUCGUCAAUGGGCGCAAGCCUGAACGAGCAAUGCCGCGUGAACGAGGAAGGUCUUCGGAUCGUAAAGUUCUGUUGAAGGGGAAAAAGAGCGGAGAGAGGAAAUGGUCUCCGAUUGAUAUUACCCUUCGAGGAAGUCACGGCGAACUACGUGCAAGCAGCCGCGGUAAAAAGUAGGUGGCGGGCGUUAUCAGGAAUGAUUGGGAGUAAAGGGUGCGUAGGCGGCCUGUGAAGUCUGUAGUGAAAGGUACCGGCUCAACCGGUACAGGCUCUGGAAACAGGCGGGCUAGAGAGCAGGAGAGGGCGGUGGAACUCCAUGUGUAGCGGUAAAAUGCGUAGAUAUAUGGAAGAACACCAGUGGCGAAGGCGGCCGCCUGGCCUGUUACUGACGCUGAGGCACGAAAGCGUGGGGAGCAAAUAGGAUUAGAUACCCGAGUAGU